rnacentral:misc_RNA from 1 species
GAUGAAGAACGCAGCGAAAUGCGAUAAGUAAUAUGAAUUGCAGAAUUCAGUGAAUCAUCGAAUCUUUGAACGCACCUUGCGCCCUUUGGACAUUCCGAAGGGCAUGCCUGUUUGAGUAUCAUGAACACCUCAACUCUCACGGCUUGUCCGUGAUGAGCUUGGACUUUGGGGGUCUUGCCGGCCUGUGGUCGGCUCCUCUCAAAUGGAUCAGCUUGCCAGUGUUUGGUGGCAUCACAGGUGUGAUAACUAUCUGCGCUUGUGGUUUUCCAUCAGAUAACCUUCAGUGAUAUGGAGGUUCGCUGGAGCUCACAAAUGUCUCUCCUUAGUGAGGACAGCUCUUUGAACGUUUGAUCUCAAAUCAGGUAGGACUACCCGCUGAACUUAAGCAUAUCAAUAAGCGGAGGA